rnacentral:rRNA from 1 species
GUGUUUAUUGUACCUUGUUGCUUCGGCGGGCCCGCCGUUUUCGAACGGCCGCCGGGGAGGCCUUGCGCCCCCGGGCCCGCGCCCGCCGAAGACCCCAACAUGAACUCUGUUCUGAAAGUAUGCAGUCUGAGUUUGAUUACCAUAAUCAAUUAAAACUUUCAACAACGGAUCUCUUGGUUCCGGCAUCGAUGAAGAACGCAGCGAAAUGCGAUAAGUAAUGUGAAUUGCAGAAUUCAGUGAAUCAUCGAGUCUUUGAACGCACAUUGCGCCCCCUGGUAUUCCGGGGGGCAUGCCUGUCCGAGCGUCAUUGCUGCCCUCAAGCACGGCUUGUGUGUUGGGCCCCCGUCCCCGGUUCUCCCCGGGGACGGGCCCGAAAGGCAGCGGCGGCACCGCGUCCGAUCCUCGAGCGUAUGGGGCUUUGUCACCCGCUCUGUAGGCCCGGCCGGCGCCAGCCGACACCCCAACUUUAUUUUCUAAGGUUGACCUCGGAUCAGGUAGGGAUACCCGCUGAACUUAAGCAUAUCAA